rnacentral:rRNA from 1 species
CCUACGGGAGGCAGCAGUGGGGAAUCUUGCGCAAUGGGCGAAAGCCUGACGCAGCAACGCCGCGUGCGGGAAGAAGGCUUUCGGGCUGUAAACCGCUUUCAGCAGGAACGAAAAUGACGGUACCUGCAGAAGAAGGAGCGGCCAACUAUGUGCCAGCAGCCGCGGUGAUACAUAGGCUUCAAGCGUUGUCCGGAUUUAUUGGGCGUAAAGAGUUCGUAGGCGGUCAAGUAAGUCGGGUGUGAAAAUUCUGGGCUCAACCCAGAGACGCCACCCGAUACUGCUUAACUUGAGUUCGAUAGGGGAGUGGGGAAUUCCUAGUGUAGCGGUGAAAUGCGCAGAUAUUAGGAGGAACACCGGUGGCGAAGGCGCCACUCUGGAUCGAUACUGACGCUGAGGAACGAAAGCAUGGGUAGCAAACAGGAUUAGAUACCCUGGUAGUCCAUGCCGUAAACGGUGGGCACUAGGUGUGGGUUUCUAUUAACGAAAUCCGCGCCGUCGCUAACGCAUUAAGUGCCCCGCCUGGGGAUACGGUCGCAAGACUAAAACUUAAGGAAUUGACGG